AAAGGAUUAUGAAAACUCAACUGAUAUGGAUGCUGGAGAGACUCACUUGUAUGCACUCUAGUAUGUCAGCCCUGGUUGAUGACACUGAAUCCGCUGUCAUACGUAACAAACAAAAUAAAAUACAAUCUUUAAAAAGAUGGUACAAGCAAAAAUGACUUGCUUAACAAAAUUAUAAGAAUGCUUUUUUUCAUUUCUAAAUUAAUCAUACAGCUCGAACAUAUUUUAAGAGGAUAAUCCAUGCAGGACAGUGAGGUUUGCUACUGAAUACCACAUAGAAUGACUUUACUUGUGAAUUAACUUGUCUAGCUCACGCUCACCAUAAUUCUUCCCCAUUUGUUACACAUCCAGACAUAAUUUCCUGCAAAGCUAAUUGUCAUAAAAGUACAAAGACUGAAUUGAUGUCAAACUUCUAGACAAGUGAACGUCUCAGCCCUCAGUUGACCCACGGCUUCUCCGUGUGUUCAUUAAAAUACUUUAGUAGCUGCAAGGCCUGAAUGUAAUUCUGAUAGUUCAGGGUAGCACCCAGGGAGAGGGACUAUGCUCUAGGGUAUCAUGGGGGAGAGAUUUUAUCUAUGGCUCCAUUCAUGGGGAAAUAUUUCUGUCCAUUUGGCAGAGGAUUGCUCUCUCAGUGGGCUGAGCCAGAAGAUAAGAGAGAUGACUAAGGGCAGGAGACAAGCUAAUGGGAGGGAAAUUUCCCAUGGAUGACCAAACCACUAGCAGCUGGCCAUCUGCAAAAACACUAGAAAGCAUGAAGACAUAAUGUCCCCCACAAGUUAAGGUUAUCAUCAGGAUCAGAUUCACUAUUUUAAUGUUUUUAAAAAAAAAAAAAAAAAAAACUUCAGAAAUUAUUGUUUCUGUGUGACACAAAACACAAUUAUUUGUCACAAAUUUCCUGUUGUGGAUUGAGCCAAAACUUCAAGACACUUUGGACAAGACCCCUCUUUGUCUUUAGUUCUAAGAACUUGAGUCAGAUUUUCCACAUACCUCAGCAGUCACCGUUUUCAAUAUUAGCUGAUUAUGAGAAAAUAGGCAUGUUUUUACUUAUUUAUUAUGAAUUCCAUACCAGUGUAUAAAGAUGAGAAAAUGCUUCCAGUACAAAUAUGCUCAAAAAGAUGCAAAAAAAAGAUGCAGAUGAUCUACCGAUUUACCUUUAAAAGUUAAAUGCACAACUCGCAAAAGAAUCCCUGCUUAAAAGGAAUCAAAAUUACUCACAUUAACAAUGAAAUACACUGUUCAAAAUAAAAAAAUAAAAAUAAAAUGCCUUGCCAGUGAGCAAAAGUACAUUUGAUCAGCGUACCAUGGUGUGUUACUGCAGGUGACUUUCUAACUCAUGAGAGUGGACCACAAGAAAAGAUACGCCCUGAUUACUAGCUAAUCGUAAAUUUGUAAUUAGCUUGUCCCCCCAAAGCGUGCUAUACUUAAACAUCAAAGCCCUCCAAAACAUCUAAACAUACAAUUAGAAUUAAAAUACUGAUUGCAGUAAGAUUUAGGGUGGAAAAACUCUUGUUGGGAAUCGCAGACAGACACACACGCACUCUCUCAUGGACACAUCCAAAGCCACUACCGGAAAGCCUGUGGUCUAUGAAAGAAAAAAUGUCCAUAAACACGAGUGUGGGUUUGCCUUGGCUAGAGCAUGUUACUGUCUCCCUCUUCACUGGGUGUGUAAAUCUUUUCUGCCUGGUGUGCUGUGAAUCUGUGUAUAGCCUUAAGCAGUGCUGUAUGCCAGCAUGUUCCCCCCCCCGACAACUUUGCGGUGCACAAUCGCUUCAGUGUUUCACAUUUCUGUCCAAGGCCUCUGGCCAACACAAGGAUGGAAUAUAGAACCAUACGCCAGCCAGACUAACGGCCAUGGCCAUUUCCUGUGGCGCUGCACCAUGCACUGGGAUUGAUCAUCAAGGGACUCUCCACU
ensembl:lncRNA